UACAGAGGUCUCAAGCGUUGUUCGGAUUCAUUGGGCGUAAAGGGUGCGUAGGCGGCGCGGUAAGUCGGGUGUGAAAUCUUGGAGCUUAACUCCGAAACUGCAUUCGAUACUGGCGUGCUUGAGGACUGGAGAGGAGACUGGAAUUUACGGUGUAGCAGUGAAAUGCGUAGAUAUCGGAAGGAAGAUCAGUGGCGAAGGCGGGUCUCUGGACAGUUCCUGACACUGAGACACGAAGGCCAGGGGAGCAAACGGG
rnacentral:rRNA from 1 species